rnacentral:rRNA from 1 species
AGAAUGUUAUCACGGGAGACACACGGCGGGUGCUAACGUCCGUCGUGAAGAGGGAAACAACCCAGACCGCCAGCUAAGGUCCCAAAGUCAUGGUUAAGUGGGAAACGAUGUGGGAAGGCCCAGACAGCCAGGAUGUUGGCUUAGAAGCAGCCAUCAUUUAAAGAAAGCGUAAUAGCUCACUGGUCGAGUCGGCCUGCGCGGAAGAUGUAACGGGGCUAAACCAUGCACCGAAGCUGCGGCAGCGACGCUUAUGCGUUGUUGGGUAGGGGAGCGUUCUGUAAGCCUGCGAAGGUGUGCUGUGAGGCAUGCUGGAGGUAUCAGAAGUGCGAAUGCUGACAUAAGUAACGAUAAAGCGGGUGAAAAGCCCGCUCGCCGGAAGACCAAGGGUUCCUGUCCAACGUUAAUCGGGGCAGGGUGAGUCGACCCCUAAGGCGAGGCCGAAAGGCGUAGUCGAUGGGAAACAGGUUAAUAUUCCUGUACUUGGUGUUACUGCGAAGGGGGGACGGAGAAGGCUAUGUUGGCCGGGCGACGGUUGUCCCGGUUUAAGCGUGUAGGCUGGUUUUCCAGGCAAAUCCGGAAAAUCAAGGCUGAGGCGUGAUGACGAGGCACUACGGUGCUGAAGCAACAAAUGCCCUGCUUCCAGGAAAAGCCUCUAAGCAUCAGGUAACAUCAAAUCGUACCCCAAACCGACACAGGUGGUCAGGUAGAGAAUACCAAGGCGCUUGAGAGAACUCGGGUGAAGGAACUAGGCAAAAUGGUGCCGUAACU